AGUAUGUUAUUGGUAUAGUUUUAAACAGCUUGUCUGUUUCAGUUUCGAUAAAGGAGUGUUUCUCUGAAUAGCUUCCACGAAUGAUCAUAUUUAUACUGCACCCGCUAUUUAAAAGUAGGAUUUCAGAAAAAUGACUAGACUGAUUACAUAUCUGUAUAAACGGCUAAAUAAAUCCUGAUUAGUAACAAAUGCUAAAACAAGGUUGUUGGAUCAAUAGAUAUUGACACGGACUCAUUAGUCGAGGGGAGUUUCCUAGCUAAUCCCACUACGAGAGUCAUUGGGCAAUGCGCCCUAUCUGACGAGAUGCAAAUCACCCACCGUGAUGGGAAAGUUUUAAUCCGUCUAUAAAAUAGGGUCACUCAAAGGCUGCAUAAAGUUUGUCUCAAGAGUAUCACACACCAAGAAGUAAAAACAUGUGCCUCCCGCAGAUCUAUAUUAUUUGUGCACCGCCAUACGUACAGUCGAUGCUAUGAUGGAAUACCGAUGAUACAAUGCAUAGAUCUCUACUAGGUCACAAAAUAUUUACAAUCUUUUUUUUGGGAGAAUUCCAAGCCAGCGGAAGAAUAGAAGCUAGUACAACUCGGUAUUAGGCACAGGUUCACUUUGUACAAGAUGAAUGAUCUGACAAUAGAAUGGCGUACAAUAUUGUUAUGACAAAUAUCAUUACUACAUAGAAGUGAAGACUGAGUAACAAGACUUACGACAGAAAUAACUACAUCUUCUUCGUAGUAAACUUAACUAUUUAUAUUUGUAGAGGUAACGCUACAAAACUUUGUUAAUAUAAACCACUCCUUACUACCGAUAUUCAAAAUCCCGCGCAUUAUUUCAAAUAAUGUCUAUUUUUAGAAAAUCUAUUUUUACCUUAUAAAGGCCUUUUUCCUAGAAGUCAAUGUAGUAUGAAAUUCCAUGAAUUUAGAUUAUGACAGGAAAAAAGUAGAAAUCAUGUUCUAAAAAUCAGUUAGUGUAAUGACUUUGUCUAAUGUAGACUAGUUUUUGUUCGCACCGCACUUGGACUGUUUGUGCGUCUGUCUGUAUGUGGGGAUUAAAGUAUUUUUACACGAAUGAAAGUAACGUCACACGUACGACCGGGUUUUCUCGUGGCAUAGUUUUUGUUUAAAAUAAUAAUGCCCCGUGAAAUCCUAAUUUUGCGUGUUGGUGUCAGCAAGAUCGCGCUCUAGCUGGAUCGUGCUCUAACAGGAUCGCGCUCUAGCAGGAUUGUACGUUAACAGGAUCGCACUCUAAUAGAGGAUCGUACUCAUUCAGGAUUGCGCUCUAGAUGGAUCGUGCUCUAACAGGAUCGUACUCUAACAGGAUCGUAACAGGAUGGCGCUGUAAUAGGGGAUCGUACUCUAACAGGAUCGAACUCUUAACUGGAAUUGACGGAAGCUGUUCUUCCUUUCAAAAAACGGUAUAUAAACAUGUAAUAAACGGGUAAAUACAUUGGAGAGCGGUGCCUUUGAGAGAUAAUGGCCCUGGAAGAAGGUACCAGCCCACGGUAUUAUAUCCUUGCCAGGGCCAUAAUCACUCAAAUGAGCGGACGCAGUGGUCCAGUGGUAACACUGUUUGACUACAAACCCAAGGGUCGUGAGUAUGAGCCCCCGCUCCUCUAACUAAAAUAACUAACACUGGGAUAAGAGUCCCGUGUAUGGGUGCUUUACACCUGACACGAAGCUUCUGGAAUUGGAGCAUCUUCUGUAUCUUGCACUACACUCCCACUAACAUGACUAACAGUCUUCUGGAGGAGUCGCCCAUAUGAGUUACCGGUGGCGACUACAAAUAGCUUACAUACACACAUAUAACUCAAAGGCACCCAUUCAUUAACCUAUAGUUAUUAUAUUGUAAAUUUUAUAAAGCCAUUCUCCACUAUGCAUUUUGUAUCUAUGUUGUUAUUAUAUACCUUACUAUAAAUAGUAACAAACAGCUUAGUACAAAAGCGGACAUUAUGUUUGCCGCUGGGAGACAUAUUGUAAAACCUUAAAUCUUGAAGCAUUAUGUGUUUGUAUGUGUAUUUCUUUCUGUAAAACUAAUUUCGCUGUAGCACACAAAAAAUGAAAUCUGCAGUAAACAACUAAGACUAGCUCAUACAGUAUGAUAAAUCUUCUUUUUUUUUUACAUUUCUAUUAAUCAAUGUAAUGAAUUGAGCCUGUCAAUUUUAAAUUAACAUUAUUCCUCAAAGAAAAUCUCUAGAAUAGACUGGCUUUUUUCUCUAUGAAUUGAAGUUAGAAAAAAAAGAAGAAAAAUUAUAGAAAUAUAUUUAUUAUCUGAGUCUAGUGGCUAGUCUGAACAACUGCAUGUGAUGUAAUCAAAAUAGUUGCUAGGAUAGCCUUUAAUUGAAAUUAGCUCUAUUUAGUAUCGAAAUAAAGUUGUAUACUUGUAAACUACUUGGAUAUUAUAUCGUUGUAUCACAACUUUGACAUAUGAGAAGUGAAAUAAAGCCAUUAUAAAGAAUAUUUGCGGUCUUUCUGAUAUUAAAUUUACCCGGUCAGCUGCAGAAAAGAUUAAAUUUUCCGGAGCUUAAGUUCAGAAAGACAGUAACCAAAUUUUCUAUUUAUCCUGUAGUCGAUACGAUUUGUUAAUAACAUAAUUUUGUUGUAUGAGUAACACUGUUACCACAUGUAUAUGUCUUAAAUGUUGAUCUGUAUAUAUGUAAAAUAUGUCUUAUGGUUUUAAAAGUCUUAAAGUUUCUAACUGUAAUCAAAUGGCAUUUUAGUAAGUUUUACUGUAACUGACAACAGUUGUAUGGUAUUUGAUAAUUUAUUAUGAUUUAUACGCGAGAGAAGUGUCUUGUUACUCAGUUACUGGAUGACAAUGUAUUUUAUCUAUGUUAUAUUUUGCUGAAUAUGUACACUGAUGAGAGUAAUAAAUAAUACAUAUAAAAAUUUAUCAAUUAUAGGUGCUUACCGGGCAUUCAUGAACAAAACAAGAGAAGUGGUUUUGACUAGGAUAAAAUACAAGCGAAAAAAACACGCUUGAUAUGUAUUCAAAUGCCCACCGUCUCUACCUUAAAUAUAUCCAUGCCGGACAAUCUGACGGCAGUGUAAGACUAUCCACUAUGAAUGUUUUAGAAUCCAACAAAUACAAGGUAAUACUGCUUAAAACAAACCGAAAGUUGAUAAUAUCUAAUUUAUUUUUACAUUACAUAUUACUUAAAGCUUGAAUACACAUACUUAGAUUUUAAAGUUCCGUUCGAUAUUUCGCGGAAAUAUGUAAGGCUGUGCCUUUGAUAUUGUUAUAAGUAUAUCCUCUGUAAACCUCAAUUAAGCUUUUUGGGUACCCAUAUUCCAUGAAACAUGAUUUCACGUCUUUCGUACCUGUUUUUUUUUAAUCUUUUUUUCUUUCAAUCCACAAGUAUCGCUUUGCCUAAUUUGAAUAUUAUUUCCAUAUAGAAAGUUCUAUGUAAUGAUAUAUAUUUUGGGGAUCAUUAUAACAUGACGCGAUUUCAGGUUGUAGGUCAUUCUUUCAUUCAACGUGUAUCACAUCGCUUUGCAUGUUAAGCAUCUCAUUCCCUUUAAAAAGUUCUUUGAAAAAGUAUAAAUUUUCGGAAUAUAUUUGAUAGUAACACUUGAUAUAUAAACUUUAUGACGUACGUUUCGGUAUCCGUUUCUAAUGAGACGCGAUUUUUACGCUUAUUUCUUGUAAAUCCACAAGUUUCGUUUUGCCUAAUAUGCAUCUUAUUUUCGUUGAUGAUAUUUUAGGUACAUAUCUGAAAAUUCAAGUUGACAGGGAAAUCAGUGCAUGAGGAAAGACGCUGAUUUUAAAUGGAAGCUUUCACUUUCGUCUAUAGUUCCUAAAAGGAACAAAUCAAGAAAAUUCCCAAUACUUUGAACAUUUAUAUUGACAAACUCAUUAUCUCAUUUAUAUCAACAGGUAACAAACAUAACAUAGAGCAGAGGGUUUCCAUACUGUUUUUCGUUAUACAUAUCUUAUACGACGGUUGUUCCGGAAGCUCCAUUGCUUUAUGAUAUUAAAUGAUUGGACAUCAUGUCUAGAUACAUCAAUAGAAGGGUCUUUUUGACAUCAUGCACAGGUAAAUGUCCUUACAGAGAUACAAACGUGUAUAGUAGAAUACACUGUUGAUUUCUUCCGUUUACAAGGCUUUUAAAAUGUAUACGGCAUUGUAAUACAUGUACAAAGUUUGUGAUAAAGGUGACUAUCACCACAUGUAUAAUGUCAAGUUAAUGUGUCAGAUAACAUACCAGACUGUUUAGAUCUAUGUAAAAAUCAUUAAAAUUUAUUAACAUUAAGUUUUGGAACAAUUGACAUAUAACUUUUGCAAGAUAUGAUUAAUUUCCAAAUAUAGUGCACAGAAGGCAGUAAAUAGAAAUAAGUGAAGAACUCAACAUUCUAUUUGCUUAUUUAACAAUUUCUAACACCUGUUCAUCAUUUUACAGUGUUAUAUAUAUUUCUGUAAACUUCAUAUGAAUUUGAUGUGAAUUUAAAGGUUGAAACAUGUAUCUAGCACAUGAUUCCGAUCAGUUAUAAUCAGAUACGAGGCCCUUAAAUGAUGUAUGGUUUUGAGCGAAAUAGUUUCAGUAUAUUUAAAUUUGGACAAGGCAGAUCAAUAAAAACGACGAUUGACAUUGCUGAACAAUGAAAAUACUAAAAUCCGAUUAGAAUAUUUUGAAGAAUUGUACUAAGAGAUGACAUUUUUAUGUCUUCAGCUGAGUUUUUUUCCGGUUGCCUUAGAUUAUGUAUCAUUAGUGGCAAACGUCACUGAGAUCUUCAUCCAAUCAACAAUCAUAAAUAUUAGGUCAUGCAUUCAUCAAUUUCUAUACAAAUGUUGCAGUGAUAAAAAUGAUAACAAGUACGGAGAAAAAAAGAAAGAAAAUAUAUCUUCACUUGUGUAAUUGUUUGCCUAAAAUAUCAAACAUUUAGGUGCGCUACCGUACUCUAAAUAAAUCCUUGAAUGUACGACUCAGUACAGUCCAGUGUGUGUGAUUUUAUAUAUAAUCAUGAAAUCACUACAUUCACCUCAACAGGCGGACGCACUACAGAUAAGUACGUAACUUUAUCUAAUUUCAGACUUAUUUCCUUAUUUUCCUUUAGACUUACAAGUACAUCAGAGGUUGUGAACUAGUUUCAGGGCAUGAACCUUAUAAGAUUGUAGUGCAAUUUCUAAAUAAAAAAUUCUCAUGAUCCACAUAGAUUACAACUUUUAUAUAUCACUAAGUUAUAGUAUGAAUAUUGUAAUAAAAUUCUCGAUUUGAAAACUUGUUCUGUUGUUUUAUUACUAAAUCUUUGUCACUAAUAUCAUUGAAGAUCAGGUAUAGUAUUCGGACCAUGUAACAUCUGGUAACGUCCCUUACACACUUUAAAAUCAUAUCAAACUUUUUAUGUACGUGGCCCUAUCUAGUUAUCUAAACCGCUCACUUAUGUAGAUAAAGCUCUUGGCUAAAUCCAUAUUGUAAUUAGAUACCUUGCAACGUUUGCAACGAGUUAUUCAAUUUUUCUACUAACGAUUAAAAUAGCAAAUAUUUAUCAGUUGUAUGUUGAAACAAUGUUUUAAAAAUAAUUCGUAUUCUGUCUGUUCACUUCAUUUUCUGCGAUCGUAAAGACAUAUUUUAAAGGUGUUAUUUCAAGAUUCACAUUUUAUGUAUAUGACAGACAAUAAAUUACUCAAACUUCAGGUUUCAUUUUAUAUACAAAAGUCAGAUCGUGAUCUACAGUGGCAGUAAGAGAAAGUUACUGACACAGGCAGUGUUUAAUGUCGUAAAGUUUAGCACUCUUUUCCAAGAAAAAAUCAUCCUUGUAUUAGCGCCGACGCCAUAUACGCUUGUUUUGUUGUUGCUGUUGUUGUUUUUAAAUGCCAAUAUUCUAACACAAUGUACUGAAAUUUCAGUAAUGACUUAUUCAUUAAUAAAUUUCUAUUCAUUUUACAAUUUGAGCCCAUUUUUUAAUAAAAAAAAGAAAGUCAGUUAAAGAGGAGAUGAGGUCGUAAAUUAUAUACAUUCAUUUGAUAUACUUGUUCGUUGUUACAGAAAUUGCGAUGUGUGAUUGGCAUCAGGUGAAUCUAAAGGUAUGCAGCAUUUCAGAAAUAUACUAUUGGGAAUUUUAAAAAAGUAUUGGUAAAGUAUUUGUCUUUAGUUAGAAUAUUUGUUAAGUUUUGUCUCAUUCUCAAGUCAGUUAACAUGCUGAAAACUAUUGUUUUAUUGACAAAGGUAAUUAAUGUGUCAUCUUAGGUAUUAACAAACGAUCGAGGUAUUAUUUUUCAUCUUUGUAAUAAACAAUUUUGUAUUACAUCGAUCCAGGAUUUUUAUGUGGCAUAUAUGGUAUAUACAAAUUUUGUUUUGCAUCGAUCCAGGAUUUUUAUGUGUCAUAUUUGUAAUUAACAAUUUUGUAUUGCAUCGAUCCAGGAUUCCGUGUAUUAUCUAUGGUAUAUAUGAAUUUUGUAUUACAUCGAUCCAGGUUUUUAUGUGUCAUCUUUGAUACUAACAAUCGAUUCAUGUAGUUUAUGUGUCAUCUAUGGUAUUAACAAUUUUUCUACUGUGUCGAUUCAAUAUGUUUUGUAUAAACAAGUCCGUAUUUCGUGAAUACAAUAAUAUCUAAAUUUUCUCCAAAAGAAGUGCAACGUUCUAUAUGUAGUAAAAUUAUUAAUGCUCAUGAAAUAUGUUCAAAUAUCUAAUUACCACAUACACGUAAAUGCCAACUUCAGCAGCAUUGUAAAUAUAAUAGAUAAAUGCAAUGCAUGUACUGGGUAUACAAAUAUACACGGACAUUAAACAAAUAUAUCGUUAUUUUUAGGUAUAGCAUUGUCGGCUUGGAUUUAAAUUCAUAUCGGCCUUAACAUCUUAACACAUUUUAUGAAAGAGCCUUACUAAAUCAUAAAAUAACUUACCAUUAACGUAUAAAUGAAAGUAUUGUGUUGCAAAUAUAAGGUUGGUUAGAGUCCCUAUAACCCAUGGUUUUGUCAUUUCUGCGUAUGAUCAUGGUGUAUUUACCCAACUUGAAAAUCAGUAAAAGGGAUUCUGUCAAUUUCUACUGGUAAAUGCUGAGAGUCAUUAUAGGUCAUAUGGCGACCUUUCCAGCCUUAAACUGAAGCGGAAGAUCCCAGUUGCCACUUCGUGCAAUAUUUCAUCACAGACGGGAAUUCACCGACCUUGCAUAAGCCAGCUGUAUGGCUUCGUCACAUGAAGAACUUCCUAUCUCACAUCGAUGAAGGG
rnacentral:lncRNA from 1 species